GCCACGCAUGAUAUCGGAAUUAAACACACAAAAGUUAAAAGAUAUCACCAAAAAUUUACAACACGUGAAGGAUUUUUUUUUUUUUUUCUCCAAAUGAGCCAGCUUUCUUCUUGUAAUUUCUCCCGCAAGCUGCCCCUUUUUUAUUCUCCAGCAACUGAUUUUUGUUUCUUUCCCAGAAAUCGACUCCAAGCAGCUGCCGUUUUAUGUUGUUGUAUAAUCAAAGCCGACACCGCAACUUCUCUUCUGUUCCUCCUCGUUGGUGCCCAAUUGUGUGUAUUGUUUUUAUAUACAAAUCAAUUCCCCAAAGUUGGCUACCACUUUCUGUGCGUGUAUCUUCUCAAAUUUAGGAGCCCGAAUCCGAAAUCUCCCAAUUAAUUCUCUCUUUUUUUUACUAAAGGCAACUGUCUCUAUAUAUGUAUUUUUAUUCCAGCUGCCAGCCUUUAUUUUUUUGUGUGUGAUUAGGAGUUCCAAGUGGCUGAAAUUCCAAUUCCUCUCCAGUUCUUCCCUGCCGCCAGCAACUUGUAUCUAUCCCCUCUCUGC
rnacentral:lncRNA from 1 species